UACGGAGGGUGCAAGCGUUAUCCGAAUUCACUGGGUUUAAAGGGUGCGUAGGCGGAUAGGUAAGUCCGUGGUGAAAUCCUGCAGCUUAACUGCAGAACUGCCAUGGAUACUAUCUAUCUUGAAUGUCGUGGAGGUUAGCGGAAUAUGUCAUGUAGCGGUGAAAUGCUUAGAGAUGACAUAGAACACCCAUUGCGAAGGCAGCUAACUACGCGAUAAUUGACGCUGAUGCACGAAAGCGUGGGGAUCAAACAGG
rnacentral:rRNA from 1 species